UUACUAUUUUUCAGAAGAGUGGUGGAACUGGGAGGUCAGUGUCAGAGACUGUGCUGACAGAAAAUCCUGGCUCCUGGUCCUGGAGGAUGAGGCUGAAGCAGUGAGAACCGAGGACUUGGUCCAUGAAGGGAUGUGAAGAGAUGAGUUCUUCUGGAUUGGGUACAAGUAUAACACAACCCAGUGACAGUGGACAUGGUUGAACAACUCUGGAUUCUCCGGAUACAGGACCCGGAGCAGCCAUACCCUUAAACUCCGGGUUUCAGGACCAGUUUGCCUUCACGUGGGAAGGGUGACAAUGGACUUUCCAAGUUCUCUCCCAAAGAUAUGUCCAUAGCCCCACCAUUUGCCGUAAGUUGGUGGCCAGAGAUUUUGAAAGGUUCCAUUCCAUAGUGAUGCACCAUGGGUGCGUUAUAUUGUUGACAUCAUGCUAACUGCAGACAGCACUUCUGUGUUUACAGGAUGUAUCGAGCGUCCUCAUGGCACACCUGCGAACUCGAGGAUGGGAGGUAAAACCUGGACCAAAUCCAGGGGGCCGGAACAUCGGUCAAGUUUCUGGGGGUUGUCUGGUCUGGUAAGACGCGGGUGAUGCCACAGGUUGUCAUUGAUAAAAUACAACAAUAUCCGAUCCCUACAACUGUCAAA